CUGUGUCAUCUUCUCCUUCUCCCGAGGAACUACAAGUUGUUGGAUCUUUCCCUCUCCUAUGGGUCACUCUUGCUUCCUUCCAGAUGUCUACUGCUUCUUGUGAGAGGUCCUUGAUAUCUGGCUGCUGUCUGAACCCCACAAUGCAGAGUCAUCGACCCAAUAAGAAGUAUAAAGAAAGACAAAACCCAAAGACAACUGAGGAGUAGGCACAGAUGCUUGAUGUAAUAAUGGGAAGAGAAAAAACAAUUUCCUGCUCCCUCUGUGAAAAGAUUAUUCCUCCUUGGCAUCAUCAUUAGGGGACCAAGAGGAGAGAAGGGAAGACGAGUAGUCUACCAGCAGAGUGAGGACCCAGAAACAGUAUGGGGGUGAGACUCACUGCUGUCCCAGUCUCCACCGGCUUCAUCCUGAAUCCAUGGCCUCAAGAAUGGUAAGUAUCCUGGCUCCUCCAAGUCAGCUUUAGCUGGGCAUCCUUCCUCUUGGGGUUGCAACCACUCGCUCCUGCCAGGGAAGUUGUUGUUUCCGGCCGUUUUGGGCCAUCUGGAGGACUCACUUCCAGUCCUCCUCAAAUAUCAGCUGUCUCCAAGGACCAGUUGGAAAACUGGCGUCAGCACGCAGCUAUAAAGCAUGUCCGUGCUGGAGCGGAUGAAUGCGUGGUGCACCAUUGCUGCUGUUUUUCCUUUCCCCCCAGCACUGGUGCAGCUUGCCUUCUAGUGGCAGCAUCUUCACCACUGUGCUUUUGAUCCUCAGCAGCGUCCUGUGAUUUUCACACCCCUCUCUGCUCUAGUGUCGGAACUAGGUUUCGGUCCUUGGCGGUGUCCCUGCCACACCCCAAUAGAUCAUUUCAUGUUUGUAGGGGCCGCUCAGCUACCCUUCUACAUCUUGUUUUCCAACAAAACCCCUCAUACAGCCCCUAUAGAACACUGUGCAAUGAUCACAUUUUUCUUAUAACACAGCUAUGAGCAGCUGCUAAUAAGAGGCUAGAUCUUUGUCUGGUAUGCAUUGGUAUAGCUCUAUUGCCUUCUGCAAAUAUAUAUAAAUCUGAGCUCACCUGAGGAUCUGGCUCCGCAUUUGGCAAAAUGGAGGUAAGUGGCAGGCUCUUGAAAUAAGAAAGCAUACAUAUUCUGCGGUCUCUUUGUCUGAAUUAAUAUAUUCUCUGAGUUAAUAAAUCCAGUGCAGUUCUUCCACUCUAGAGCCCAGUUUAAUCACAGUGAGCACCAGCAAGCCAUUUAUUGUAUUUUGUAAAUACCAUCUGUGCACAACCUAGCCUAUUCAACAAUGAUGACCAUAAGAGAAAUCCAGUGCGUUAUUGCAUUGGCACUUGAACUUGUUUGGCCUUCACAAGAUAAUGAAUUUUUUAUACACUGCUUAAGGAAUUAUUUUAGCAUUUUACUUAGGCUUAAUAGAUAUACUAGACUCUCUCAGUAUGAAUGGAAAAUCAUUGCUGAAGGAGAGAAGACAGUGAGGUCAUGCCUUACUUUGAUGGGUAGCAGAAAUGAAAUGAAAAUAAAAACACUCACCAGCUUUUAACGCUCCCAAUUGUCCUAUUUCUCCUUGACUUCUUUGUAACAUUGCAAUCUUUUUUCAUAUUCUAUUAUAAAAAGCCUUCUUGAAAAGGCGAGGCUUGAAUAUGGAUGGGUUUGUAUCUUCCUUUUCUUUAUACAGCCACCUAAAUAUUUAAAUAAUAUAUCUUGGGCAGCUUAUUUUUAAUAAGAAAUAGGUAACUUUGCUUGAUAUUCUGACAAUAUUGCUUGAGAUAAUGGGGCUUUGUUGAAUUAAAUUGUAUAUUAUGAACUGGACUACUGGGAUAUUAAUGGUCUGGUAAGCUCAGUGGUGUUAUCUGGAGACUUCAGAGAAGUAGACAGUUUCUAGUCUUCUGGCUGAAGGAUGACUGUUCAGUGGACAUGCUGUGCAUUAGUUAUAUGAUUGGGUUUAGGGGAAGCAAGGAAGGUAUUGGGAAGAUGUUUUAAUACAUAAAAGAUCAGGGAUCUCAUAGAAAAUUAGGGUUGGAAGGGAACUCAGGAGGUCAUCUAGGCCAACAGCCUGCUCAAAGCAGGACUACCACCAACCAUUAAUGGUAUUUUUCAUGCGGGGACCUGUUUUAAGAUUAGUUAAGAAAUGUUGGAAAAAACUCCAAUGACAUGUUAAAUAAUUUUAUUUUUAUAUACUUUCGCUCAAAACUGGCAAAUUUAUCUCAGAUACAUACUCAAAAAAAACAUGGCAGGUCAAAUGGUAUGGACUGUUUAACGUACUGGGAUGCAAAAUUGGGCAGAAAAUCUCACCGGUGAAGAUGUUGCAGUGAGUCUUCUGGUUUUCUACAGGGUCAAAAAUACAAAAACUAUGUUUAUACCACUUGGUUUUGUCAUUUUUUUGAUAUCUGGACAUAAUGAAACUAGAUGUUCAGAGAAGCCAAACAGGACAAGCUACAAUGACAAACAAAUGCAACCACUUCUUGUUUUGGUGUUUUGUUAACUCUACAGUUCAAAAGAUAAGAUUCAUUUGGGGCUAGUUUGAAUCACUCUCUGUCUUGCUGGCUCUCUUGAUUUUCAUCACAACUUCCUUGAUAUCUGGUAUUCUUCCCAAAGUCCCUCCUUUUGGAAUCUUUAUAUAAAAAUCUCAUUCUUCAUAUAGCUAUUUCAGAGUAAGUUUUUAGUUGUUCUGGUUUCAGAGGAAAGCUUGAAAAUCAUGAUCAUAGUGUGCUGCAAAGUCUGAAAAGCCAGAAGACCAAACGAAAAAGAAGAGAAAGUUCUAUGUUUUUUAAAUUAUUAUUUUAAAGUCAUGACGUCCAUCUUGGGCCUUAGUUGUGAUGUGUGGCAUGGCAGGACGCACAAUUGUCUGGAUCAGGGAUCAGAUCCCAUGAUGUCCUUAAGUGAACAUGUGCCGAGGCAAGGGCCUUAGAGUCAUAAAAUCGCUAACCGCAUUUCAUCUGCACUGACUGCACUAGUAUUUAAUUUUGAAGUGUUCGGUAUUACCUGGCUUUAUAGUGGCAUCAGUUGUUCUGAGUGAAGAUGUAAAGCUAAAGAAAAAAUAAUGUUUAAACCAAGUCAUCCAUAUCUGUUUUUGAGAAUUCAUUUUCGCAUGGGUCUGUGAAUACCAGAAGUAUGGAGUAGUGUGCAAUAACAUAAAAUAAUAAAAGGGCAUUUCAUACAUUGGUUCUUACCUUGCGUAAUAUUCAUUAUAAGUGUGUACUUUUCCACAACAUAUAGCCAUUGUCUCUCUCUUACUAGGAGCAGUCUUUUACAAAUGAUGCAUUGUACGUAGUACAUAAAGUGUAAAAAUAUUGUUGCCAUAUUUAUAUUUAUCAUUAUGAAGACAGCACAAAACUUGCAUUCUCUGUUGAUUACAGUUAACCUGAAUGGAUAGGAAUUAUAACAAACAAUAUUUUCCAGCCCAUGAUGCAGCAGCUGAAAAUUAAUUGUGUUUAAAUGUUCAUCAGCCAACUCAGAAAAAACUUGAACCAAUUAAAUGUAAUGAGGGGUCUUAAUAUGUUACUUUUUAUUUUAAGUAAAUUAUCCUUGCUCUGAUGUGCUUUUGUAAGUAAUGGUGCUUGCUUUUCAGAAAGAAAAUAAAAACUUGCAUCCCGUUGUCUUAGCCUUAAUUCUUCUAUAAGUCUAUAGUUAAAAAGAUUAGUUAUUACUACUUGUUUAGGGAUGAAAUUGUGAGCACUAUAUGAUACCAUGGACCACUGCAGACAAAUUUGAAUAGACACUUGUACAGACCCCACAGCUGUAGGAUGAAUUUUACUUCCAGGUCAGAUCUUUGCUGAUUUAGAGCAGGAAUUGUUCCAGUAAUUCUAAUGGAGCUGCGUGUUGUUCUCAGCUGAGAAUCUGGCCUUUCAUUUUGAGCACAAAGUAGCUACAGUGCUGUAAUGGUUCUUGGAAACUUGAGGUCUUUUGCAACAAGCAUGCAUUUCCCCGGCACCCUGUUG